UACGUAGGGGGCAAGCGUUGUCCGGAUUCAUUGGGCGUAAAGAGCGUGUAGGCGGCCAGGUAGGUCGGUUGUGAAAACUGGAGGCUCAACCUUCAGAGGUCGACCGAAACCAUCUGGCUAGAGUCCGGGAGAGGAGAGUGGAAUUCCUGGUGUAGCGGUGAAAUGCGCAGAUAUCAGGAAGAACACCCGCGGCGAAAGCGGCUCUCUGGAACGGUACUGACGCUGAGACGCGAAAGCGUGGGGAGCAAACAGG
rnacentral:rRNA from 1 species